GACGAACGCUGGCGGCGUGCUUAACACAUGCAAGUCGAACGGUGAAGCCCUUCGGGGUGGCUCAGUGGCGAACGGGUGAGUAACACGUGAGCAACCUGCCCCUGGCUCUGGGACAACCACUGGAAACGGUGGCUAAUACCGGAUACGACCCGCCUCGGCAUCGAGUGUGGGUUGAAAGUUUUUCGGCUGGGGAUGGGCUCGCGGCCUAUCAGCUUGUUGGUGAGGUUAAGGCUCACCAAGGCGACGACGGGUAGCCGGCCUGAGAGGGCGACCGGCCACACUGGGACUGAGACACGGACCAGACUCCUACGGGAGGCAGCAGUGGGGAAUAUUGCACAAUGGGCGAAAGCCUGAUGCAGCGACGCCGCGUGAGGGAUGACGGCCUUCGGGUUGUAAACCUCUUUCAGCUCAGAAGAAGCGAAAGUGACGGUAGGAGCAGAAGAAGCACCGGCUAACUACGUG
rnacentral:rRNA from 1 species